GGCUACAAGCUAUUAGGCUGAGCUUCUACGGUGGUUGCCGGACGAACGGGCAACUAAAACGCCAAACUCAACUGGGAAACAAAAUCAUUCGAGAUUCAAGCCACGUAUGAGAGUAUUUGAGCUGCAACUGAACAGAAAUCUUUGAUUCAUGUUGCAAAAGACCACAUGCAAUGACCGGCAUCGUCUUCCCGAGAGCGCAUAAUUUUGAAGCAAUAUGAACCGGGACUUGGCUGAUGUGAAGUGCCACGUAAGAAUUUGCAAGCACACAUUCAUCUGGAUUUCCUUGUUCCAUGUCUCUAGCUUUAGACAGAACGUGCUUAUGUGUUCUAGUAAAAUUAUCAAAUGCAAAAAUUCUGGCGUAUUCUGGAGGUAGUGAUUCCUAAAAACAUGAAUAAGGUUAAAAAGAGGAUAAAAACUAUGAGAAUCAUAGCGUCGUAUAUAUAGAGCUUACCUUAGGGUCCCAUGAAGAUGUCCGAAACGACUUAAGGCCUCUGUAUUUAGCAAACCGUUUCCUAGCGGGAAUGUCAACUGGAGCAUCCACUUCAUCAGGAAACUCUGAAACAAAGCAUCCAAUUAAAUUCAAAAAUAAAUACAUAAAAAACUAAGAAUCUUUUUUAUAAUCAAGAAAUCAGUUCAUACCCUCAUCUUCAGCAUGUGCCUCUUUUAUUUUUCGAAUAUCUUCUUCUAUCUGCUCCUUCGUCAGAUUAUCAUUAUCCUGCAAGCAAAUAAUAUAUCUUGCUUUGAAAUCCAUCCCAGCCAUAUAUUGAAAUAUCUAAACCACUAGCAGUUCACAUUUCAUACUAGCUAAUGUACACAUAUAUGCUUACAACUUAUUUAAUUCAGAACAGUAUAAAAUAAUUAGUAUAAAGUAAAAGUUUGAUGACUGUUAUCAUUGAUGUCCAUAUAUACAGUUGAUACAUUAUGAAAAUAAAAACCAUCUGUAUACUUACUUGCCCUCAAAGUUGUAUAAAUUGUUUCCUAGGUUGCAAUUAGAGGUGUCAAUUCCGACCAAUUUACUUGUACGGUUCGAUUUGGAUUAUGUUCUCUCUUACGUAAAAAAAAAAAAAUAAAUGGAUCAUAUGAGAUGAAUGGGUCCCAAAGAGUGUCUUAAAUGCAGAAAACAUCCCAACUCAUUUAUUCAGAAAAAGUAAAUAUUUAUUGUAAUAUUUUUUCAGAUAAAUUUUGAAACUAACUAUUUUAAAAACUUCUUUUUAAAGAACGUGUUUUGGGUCAACCCCACUUGGCCCAUCUUGUUUCAAGCCAUACUAAAGGCCGCCUGUUUUGACCCAUUUGCCACUUGUAGUUUUGUUUCCGAACAUAACUUAGCAAAAUAUAUAUUACGAAAAACACACAAAUAAACACCAUUGAAGCAAGGACAUAACAUAAUACUAUAAUAGGUUUUUUAAGAUACCAUCAUCAUAGAAUCAGCUUCGGUUUCUUCAUCAGAAUCCCGAAGGUUGAGUGAAGCCUGGUCAAACUCAUGGUCAAACUUCCCACCUUCACUUUGACCAGUAACGUCAUGUUCUCCCUCAUCAACCACCAUGCCAUUUUCCGAACCGUCAUCAUCGCUUUCUGUACCUGACACGUCAGAUUCAUCCACGAUCCAAGCAGCCUGCAAAGUAAAUACAAUAUAAAAUUAUGUUGUAUAAAUUUUGGUACCAUCAAAUGAACAAUAUGUCAAUAUGUGGCACUUGUUAAAAUAACUACUUACCUGGUAUUCGGAAGUACCCCGGGGAAGAGACCGUUUUUUAUGCUUCUUUUCUUUAUGUAAUCUAUCAGCUUCUUCCAUUUCUGCCUCUGUUGGCCAUGUCUGUAU
rnacentral:lncRNA from 1 species